ACGGUAGUUUGCUUACAUUGUUUUCAAUAACAAUGUACAGAAGACUAGCAGAAAAUUAAAAACUUGGAGCAGUCUGAGCCUCAGUUUUGGCGUUUUCAUGAGUCUUAAUUACGAAUGAAAUUCGGCACUUUGAAGCCAAACUCGGAAAGAAACAGAAACAGAAUUGGAUGAGCUGAUAUAGAAUUAGACAGGAAAAACAUAUUAUGAGAAUACAUUAUUACAGUACAGACCAUUGAUGCUGGAAGUGAGUGGAUAGUGUUACCGGAGACUCAGGGAUCCAGAAAAUAGAUCCAUUAAUUGUACAGUGUAUUCAUGAAAGUGGAUCAAAUAAAAAUGUUUAAUCGAAAAGUAACAUUCUUGGUUUGUCUGUUGGCAUUUUUUGUUGAUGUAAAUCUAAUAACUAUCAAUUUUUGGCAUGCAGAUUCAUAAUUAGAUAGUAGAAGAAUCUGAAACAUAUCUUUAUAUUCUGCAUUUUGAAGUGUCAUAAUUAAAACGAGGUCAAUAUUAAAUGAUCAAUCAAUUAAUUUCAAAACUGACAAAAUGUUUUUGUGAGAAAAAAGAAAGAGGGCUAGUUUAAAGUCAGAUGACACGUUCCUCAAAUUUAUGUUUUGUAUCUCUAGGCAUUAUAUAAAAAAAAAAUAUUCAUAUUUGUCAUUCUCUUCUGAUUUCUACAUUGUUUUCAAAAUGUUUUUAAAUAUAAAUACAAAAAAAAUUUCGAUAUAUGUCAUUCAAAAGAUUACCCAUUAGGGUUAUUAAUAUAAAAUAUCUUUUAGGGUCAGUUCAAGUUUAGACAUUCAUAUACAUGUAUAUAUAUAGCCCUUCCAGAUUUUUAUUUUAGGUACCAGUAGCUACUGAGGUCUUAGCUGUCUUGCAAUAUUGUUUCUUAACUAGGACAGCAGGAGAAUAUAUCGUAGGUUCAAUACCAA